rnacentral:tRNA from 1 species
GGGGGUGUAGCUCAUAUGGUAGAGCGCUCAUGAACUUCGCAUGCGAAGGCACGGGGUUCGAUUCCCCCGCACCUCCA